UGUAAAUGUAAAACUAUAAUCAUAUUGAAAUCAAAAGAAAAGGUCUUUUUCAAUGUUUUCAUAUUAAAAUUUCAUAAAAAUAAUAAAUCAUAAAUUUAGGGAUCUAACUCUAAAUAAUGGGUCUUUUUGUUCAUUAAAUAAAUUUCUAACACAAUAUACUAAAAUGAAAUUGUCAUAAAAUGUUGCUCAAAUGUGAUUGACCAUCUUUAAAGUUCAGAACAUAUCAGUUCACAAAUAACUUAACCGACAUCUAGUAUACAAAUAUUUUACGGUAAGCGACCCAAAGUAGUAAAAUUUCAUAUCCUUUCAUUAAUUUCUUUUCUGUACAUGAGGGAUCGAAAAUGACGUAUAGCCAAUAAGCAUAGACCGAACGUCAGAAGAUAUAGCGAUACUCAUAAUUCUCUUUUCAAUGUCUUAGUCUAAUUUAGUAUCAUGAUUAGUGAUUUUGAUAAAGAAUAAAGGUAGUACUGCUGUCUUUUCUGUUAUCUAAAGCAUAUUAAAUUUCUCCCCACCCUUAUCCCACCAAAAAGUAAAAAUACAACAACAAUAAAAUAAAAAAAAA